UUCAGUCUAGAUGAUUGCCUUUCGUAGGCAGUUUGAAAGUAUUUGGAAGGCUGUAGACUUUGGGGAGGUCACGCAGAUGCAAAAUGAUGCUAGUCCAACUGAAAAACAAGCACAACUAACCCGUGGAAGUACAAACACGAUGCGCCUUUACCAACUUUAAAUAGAAGUGGCGGAUAACAACAAAUUUUCUUUUGACGAGGGAGCAGUGGCCUUAGAAAGUCAAAAAAUCACAAUUUUCAAAGGAUGAUAACAGCGAGACGAUGCGAUCUGGAGAGUGAGUAAGAAGCUGUAGUGGCAAGGUUCGAUGGACCCUUUCGAACGCAUCUAAAACAUUUUCCGAAAUCAACUUUGGGCACCUUUGUUCCCUAGCGGUAGACUUUUUGAGCAACAAAAUUAUAUCUGUCAUAAUGAAAAACGAAUACGCUUGCGCGGCAAUCAAUUCUUUUGCGGGUUGCCAAUGUGUCACGUUCGAUGAGGCCGAAUAUGGUUUGAAAAUCAUCGUACGAUUUUCCUGGACAAGUGUGAUCCACAAUACGGCACAAACGUUUAACGAAGCCAUUAAUACUUGCGAACUAAUCCUAGAUAGUCCGAUGCUACAUGCAAUAUCGUGAAAUUUUCAGGAUGCUGACAAUUGUCCCCCUGAAGUAGUGUGUAUCAUUCCGUCGCCCUGCGAAGUCCCAAGAGAGAUUUGGUCCUGCACCACGAAGAAGUUGUGUUUAUUAAGCUAACUGCUCAUCAAAACGAUGUGAUCACUGAGCAACCGCAUAGAACGAUU